rnacentral:rRNA from 1 species
AAUAGAUACCCAGGUAGUCCACGCCAUAAACGUUGGAUACUAGGUGUGGCGGCUAUACCAAUGACUGCCGUGCCGAAGCUAACGCAUUAAGUAUCCCGCCUGGGGAGUACGGCCGCAAGGCUAAAACUCAAAGGAAUUGACGGGUCCCCGCACAAGCGGCGGAGCAUGCGGCUUAAUUCGAUGCAACCCGAAGAACCUUACCUGGGUUUGACAUCACGGGAAAAGCUGUAGAAAUACAGUGUCCAUUAGGGCCCGUGACAGGUGGUGCAUGGCUGUCGUCAGCUCGUGUCGUGAGAUGUUGGGUUAAGUCCCGCAACGAGCGCAACCCUUGUCCUAUGUUGCCAGCGGUUCGGCCGGGGGCUCAUAGGAGACUGCCGGGGAUAACUCGGAGGAAGGUGAGGACGACGUCAAGUCAUCAUGCCCCUUAUAUCCAGGGCUGCACGCAUGCUACAAUGGCCGGUACAACGGGCAGCGACCCCGCGAGGGUGAGCGAAUCCUAAAAAGCCGGUCCUAGUUCGGAUUGAAGU